GAUGAACGCUGGCGGCGUGCCUAAUACAUGCAAGUCGAGCGAACGGACGAGAAGCUUGCUUCUCUGAUGUUAGCGGCGGACGGGUGAGUAACACGUGGAUAACCUACCUAUAAGACUGGGAUAACUUCGGGAAACCGGAGCUAAUACCGGAUAAUAUUUUGAACCGCAUGGUUCAAAAGUGAAAGACGGUCUUGCUGUCACUUAUAGAUGGAUCCGCGCUGCAUUAGCUAGUUGGUAAGGUAACGGCUUACCAAGGCAACGAUGCAUAGCAGACCUGAGAGAGUGAUCGGCCACACUGGAACUGGGACACGGUCCAGACUCCUACGGGAGGCAGCAGUAGGGAAUCUUCCGCAAUGGGCGAAAGCCUGACGGAGCAACGCCGCGUGAGUGAUGAAGGUCUUCGGAUCGUAAAACUCUGUUAUUAGGGAAGAACAUAUGUGUAAGUAACUGUGCACAUCUUGACGGUACCUAAUCAGAAAGCCACGGCUAACUACGUG
rnacentral:rRNA from 1 species